rnacentral:lncRNA from 1 species
GCACCUUCAAGUUUUCAAGUCCAAAUAUACAGCUCAAAUUUGUAACAUAUAGGAGGCCUAUAGCCUGCAGUUUCCUAUAUAUAUAUACAUAUAUAUCACUCUCUCAUAUAUUAUCAUGUUCAAGUUUUAGUAAGGAUCUAAGGAGUCUGCUAAGCUAAUAUGAAGAAGAUAGAAUAUCUGGGUGCCUCCAUCUUAGUUUAUCUUCUGGAACAGGUAUGUAGCUAUACCAAUGGUAUCCUGGUAGUGAAAAUCUCCAACAAGGGGUGUUUCUUUUUCUUCUUUUUUGGGGUGCCAAUCUUUGUAUUCUUCACGUUUAGCCAAACAUUAUAACUUAUAAUUUUGUGAACAAAGAAUAACUAUGUAAAUAUUAGCAUCUAGAAUUCUUUGUCAUGCAUUUGAGAAAUGCACAUGCUCUCUUAUCUCACAUUUGGCACUUGAUAUUCUCCAUUAUCUUUUUGUUUUUUUUGCUUUCUAACUUUUUUUUAUUACAAAAAGUUAAGGUUAGAGGAAGCUAUCUAAGUUUAGAUAAGGUGCAUGUCUUUGAUUUCAUAAAGAGUUCAAAGUGGUACUUACAUAUCACCACUCAAAUAAGAUUAUCAGUCAACCCAUGUUGACAUACCAGUAACUAACUAUUUGGGGAGUCGAAGGCCAUUUUCUUUGAUUUGUGUUUGGCUUUGAAGACCACUUUAUCUCAUCAUCAAGUACAUGCAUCACCAUUAGGAGAAUUUUCCAUAGCUAGCAUAUUCCAUUUUCUUAUUUUCAAUUUUGGUAACUCAGUGCUACUGGCUUUUAGUUUCCCUUAUUAUAGCUCAAUGUGAAGGGAAUGAAGUUAAAAACAAGGGUUCAUUUUAGCUUGAGAUUCGAAAGUACAGUUUUUAUUCACAUGCAUCGAUAACAUUUAAACCAUAAUUUGGUCUUUAACAUUUGAACUUUAAAGCAUAAUUAGUAUCUAGUAUAAUAUCAGAUGCUGAAACCAAAUGCAACUUUUAUGAUCACUGUUUCAAACAUCAAAAUCUUCAUUAAAAAACACAAGUGCAAAGUAUGAACAUUUAAUCAAAUGGAUUGAACUUAUACUAACUUGCAUGCAUCAGUAUGAAAACAUAAAUGGUCUAAGAAUAAGUAAAGAAUACAACAAAGAAACCCUUGAUAUGCAAUAUUAAGCUGCAAAUACAUUUUCAAUAUUAGGCCGAAUCAGUUCCCAAAGAGCCAGUCGGCCAUAGUUUUCACCUAAAAGUAUACUAAUAUUUAUUUGUACUUUGCACAAUGUUCAAUUUAAUAAGAACUGUGCUUAAUAUUAAUAUAUCAAUACAAAUUAAGGACCCCAACAGUCCUUUAACUAAUGCAAAUACCAUUUUAUAGGUUUAUUAUGUACAGAAAAACCCUGGAUUUAAGGCUUGUUUCUUCUUAUAAAUGUGGCUUCCUAUAAUUAGUAUAUGUAUGCACUAAUUUUGCUAGAAUAUGCUUUCACUUCCACAAAUCAAUUUGACAACUUGAAGUGGAUGUAGAAGCAUAUUCUUGAUGAUGAUGACCAAUAUCUGCCCUUUUUGAUUCAUUGGUUGGCAAAUUUAUUUGUUCAGCCACGUGAUAGCUGGUAGCCGCUGCAUUGGUAGUAUAGUUGUUUUCCUUGGAACCUUCUUCAUGGCUAAGCUGAGAAGCAACGAAUUUAUCGAGCACUCGCCAAUCGGUCACUUGAUCCACAGCUUGUUGUUGUUGAUCGAUGGUG